AUAGCAUAGGCGCCCACUAAACUGCUGAAUUUAAAUUAAAACUGCAAUGAACUUAUAAAAUUAACAAAAAUAAUCACAAAUUAGCGAAAUAUAUUGCAAAUGUAGCUUAUAUUAAAUCGCCACCCGACUGCUCUCUCCUCCGCAGAGAUUUCAGUGACUACAAUGAGCUUUACAUGGCGCUUGCCGUAUUUAUCAACAAACAGUGACGUAUAAUUAUAAAGUAUAUAUAUAUAUUAAGUAUACUUUAUAACUAUACGUCAGUCGAUAGUGCAAUCUGAUGGCGAUUUAAUAUAAGCUACAUUUGCAAUAUAUUUCGCUAAUUUGCGAUUAUUUUCUAAUUUUACUGCAGUUUUAAUUUAAAUUCAGCCGUUUAGUUGGCCGGCUAUAAUUGUAGUUGUGAUCAUUAUAAAAUAUAUCAACAACAAUAGUAUAAUCUAAUUAGCACCAGCCAAUCAAUUGACAGAUUUAAAAAUCGUUUGUCUAAUCGGCCAAUCAGCGCUCAGUCCAGAUUCUGGACUGAACAACCAGGCAAAAUGCCACUUUUGUGUCAGGCCGUACUUUUCUCCCCUUCGCCCACGAUCAGGCGUGCCUGUGCCCUAAAA